ensembl:lncRNA
CUCUUCAUGCCCAGCCCACAACAGCUCUUAGAGUACACUGACAUAUAUUGUUUGUGCAGUACUGUGUAUUGCAUUGCUGAAGCUAUAACCUCAUCAACAUCAAAGACUGCCCUGAAACACAGUCAACGGCGGGACUGGAGCUUCUGGAACAUGUUCCUCUUCUACACCCUACUUCUACACUUUUCUCUGGGUAUGUGUCAUGUUGGGCAGGGCAAGACUGCUGGUGCCAGAGAGAACCAACUACUUCUCUCCCUGACUUGGAGCAUGGACACCUGUACAAUUUUGCUAUCAUUCUCACUUGUGUUCCUACUCACUGCGCCUAUUUAAAUUCCUUCUUCUCUCGUGUGUGUUGUUGGUCUUCAUUUUGGAUUUUUUUCCCACUGUAAUUCCCGGUUUUGUCACCUUUUAGUUAUUUAAGUAAAGUCUUACGUUCUCCCUGC